CGGAAGGUGCGCUUGGAAUAUAUCAGAAUGGAGCUAAGAAGCAUAGCAUCUCCCU
rnacentral:tRNA from 1 species